UUGCCUCAUAUGAAAAUGUAAAAAACACAAAAAAAAAUAUAAUAUUCUCCCAAAUCUUAUAUUUUUUCUUUGACCCCCUGUAUAUGUAUCAUGUAUUU
rnacentral:ribozyme from 14 species